UGCUGGUCCCACUGCAGGGCAUGCAGGACCUGCCUGCCCCCUCCUGGGGGGGCUCCUGCCUGCCCCAGCACCCCUGCCCUGGAGAAGAAGGGGGCCAUCAAAAGACUAAUUUCUACCCGACAGGCUGAUCUGGACAGGUGGUGCUGUACUGUCUGAAAGACCGUGCCAGUGAAACAGCUGGUCAUUAUUUGGCAGAUCUUUCUUCUUCACGGUGACAUCCUCAGAGUGAUCUGAUGAGGCAAAGCUAAAUUGUGUCUGUUGCCUGUUAAAAACAUGUCUCGGAAAGGAAAACUGCAGCAGGUAUCUCUGUAAGUAUCAUUCAGUCCCAAAUUGCAGGCUUUUUUUCCUUUUUUUCCUUUUUUUUUUAAACCAGAACUCCCGGUCCAUCAUUAGCAUCUCAACACAUGGAUUCCUGGAAGAUGCCUGCAGUAUCGACAUUAUCAGACUCGUAACUGCCCCAUACAUGGUCUUUCCCCAAACCCAAGUUUACUGCACAGCCAGAUUUAUCAGGAAAACACAGAUAAGUUGACUUGCAGCCUGAGUGCACCCCAGGGGGGGUUGUUCUGAGAGGCCUGAAAGAAUUCGGGCAAGGUGUGGCUGUCUCACUACUAAAAAAUACCUUUGUUUUACUUCUAGGAGAGAAAUCUCAACAUAGAAUCACAAGUAGGUGAUAAGGGCAGCAAGAGCCGUGGCUCUUCUUUUGAGGACAGCCCAACAAUGCUCUCAGAAAUUACAGAUGCAGGAGCCCCUGGCAAAUGGUUUAAAUGACAAAGAGGAUACAUCAAGAAAUCUUCAACUGUUCUUUUCUUUCUUAGAAGGACUAACAGCUCUCCAAGUAUUUCAAGUCCUUUUGCUCAGAUCGAUCAGGCCCGCAGGGAGAACCUAUUGAGGCUGCUGGGUUCUUCAGUGUCCUAAACCGGGAGCGUAAACACUGCAGAAAUCUGCACUUCCAGUGUUCCCUUUUUCAGGGACAGAGAAAAGGACAUGUCUGGUCAUCAGUGCAUGAGGUGAACAGCUGGACCCUCUGGUUCCAGUCACCAACAGCCAGUUGUGUUUUCUCCUCACUUGUGGAAACUAAAAAAGUGAAACCAAGCUGGGUUUUUGUUGUGGUGGUGGUGUUAAUUUGGUUUAUUGAAUUUUUUGUUCGUUUGUGGUUUUUUUAAUGCACAUCAGCUAUGGCUCACUCUGAUGAUACUUAGUUGGCAAAGUUUUCACUGAAAUCCAUAAAAAGUCAAAUAAUACAAGGAAGUCUGCAAAUACAGAUCCAUUGCCUUAGUCCAGGGAGGUUCUUUUCCUGUUUUGCAGAAAUGUUUUCCUAUAGAUGUUCCUGACCUGUCUUGGGGGCACUGGACAAGGAGAUUGGACCUGUCACAUCUCAGGGGUAUUUCAUUUUACCCGAGCUGAUGGCAGAUCCUGUGUCCCCGAGUGUUUCACCCAGGACCUACAGAAAUCCACUUGUUGCUUCUGGGGGAGGAUGGGGGGAACCGGUGGGGAGCCAGGACUUCCAUCUGAGCUUUAACCCCCACAGAGCCAGUGCCCAGAGCUGCUGUGAUAAAGGAGGUUUGCAAGGCAAAGGUCUGUCCACAGAUAACGUCAUGUAAAUGCUUCCCUUGGCAGUGGAGGGCAAUUCCAUCAGCAGACACUGACUCCAGAGCACUUGGAACUCUCCUUUCCUCUCCAAUAUAAAAAUCAGAAGGGGGAAUCUGUGCUGGAGCAGUUUGGGAAGGAGUGCAGCCCAUUGGAAGGAGCCACGCCGGAGCAGUUUGCGAAAGGCUGUAUUCCUGGGGAACAGAUCCAUGCUGGAGAAAGGGAAGAGCACGAACAGGAAGGAGCAGCAGAGGCAAAGUGUUCUGAACUGAUCCCCAGCCCCGUUCCCCAGCCCUGCGUGCCACUCAGUGGGGGAGGACAUAGAGGGAUGGGUAAUGAUGGAGUGAAGUGGAGCCUGGGAAGCAGGUGGGGGUGGUGGUUUAGAUGUGUCUCUUUUAACCAUCCCAAAUCUAUUUGACUUGGCAAUCAAUUAAGUUGUCACCUGGUAUUACUUUGGGGUUUUUUCAGUGCUUGUUCCUGACAGCAAAUGCUGAUGACGUUCCACCAAGCACGGGAUGUGGGGUAGGAUCUGCUGGAGGGGUGGCUGGUGCCACCAGGGCCCUGAGCUGUGGCUGCACAAGUGCUGGCAGGAGGCAGCAGGUGCCAGGGGAGGAGGACUUGGCCAUGGGCAGUGGCUGCUGCCACACUGCCAGGCCCUGUUGCCAAAACCUCUGCAGGCUCAUCACGUUCUGUAACGUGUUUUUUCUCUUGAAACUUUUUUUCUAUCCAAAUAAAAUCACUGAUGUUGCCCCCCGGCCUCCUCAGAGAUACAUACAAGGUCAUAGCCAUAGAGGGGAAAUAGUCUGUCCCUUGAGCCUUUCUGGGGAAGCAGCAGGUGCAAAAGACUUUUUCAUGCAACACAGUUAGAUUCAGGAGCUUAUUUCCAGGAUGUUAUAGAGGAGUAUCAAUAGAUUCCAAAAGAGACUUAAAGUCAUGGACACGUUCCAGCUUGCAUUUCAAAUGGUCCUUUCUUCUGUCCAUACAGCAAGGAUGAAAUACUUUGAUAGUUGUGUGUCAUGAUCCUAAGCAGGCAGACCUGAAGCCUUUCUGAAGUGUUUAGGUAAGAGCUUCAAAUCUAGAGACUUCAGUAGUACACAGAAAUCACCCAUCCUUACCCAGAGCACCAGAAAAGCAUCUGUGAGGGUUUGUCUCAAAGCUUCAUCCCAUCUGUCUCUGGCAAGGGCUCAAGUUAAUGCCUUAACAGAAGUUAAGAAAGUGUGGGAACACAGGCCUCUUCUGAGUACUUUCCCAGCUUCCAACAAUUUUUACAGCACAGGGAGCUCCUGAGCCAGGUUUGGUUUAAAUAAAUGCAUUUUAUUUAAAUGAUAUAAAAUCAAUGGUAAAAUUAAACCACCUAGACCGAUUAGGUGGGCUGCUGUUACACCAGCCUCUGACAGGUGACUUCUCCAUCCAAAGGCAACUCCCAGUGAGGGCUGUGAGCACCCAGAGGUGCCUCUGGGUGUAGUGGCUGAACAGCCGGUUUUAGAAACCCUGGUGGUUUCACAACAAACAUGUUUAUCCCUCUCUACAACUCCUCCAUGCACACACGUUUGCAACAAGCAGCAGGCCCUGUUCAGUGCAGGGCAGAUCUGGAAAACAGCCAGCUCUGAACUGCCUGAUUAUUUUCCCGUUUCCCUUUAUACACUGCAACUCCAAAUAGUGAUACAGAUUUCUUCACUCUCUAGUGCUUUCAUUUCUGAAGAUGCCCAGUAACUUGGCAGCUGCUCCCAAAGGGCACAGCAAGGUCCUGCUGCAGGGUUUUCACACUGCUAAGAGGCAGUAAAGGAACCAGAAGUGAACCGUGUUUCCCCUGGUGUCUUGGAAAGGGUGUCACAAACUUACUGACAGUUUCAUUCACAAUUUAUUUAAGAACAUGACUCCAGGAUGCAAACAGAAUCAUGAUGCCAGUCAGUACCUGGGAGAUGACUGGGAGACAGGCAAGAACUCUUUCGGUGAUCUAAUUCUUUUUGACCCUUACAGCGAUCAUCUUCAGAAUGUUAUGAAACACUGGAACUCUCGAGUUUUUACUCCAGGCUUGGGCUGCCCUCGGCGGGCAGGGGGCUGUGCACUGCAGGCACAGCUGCGGGCAGGGGCGGCUGCCGACACCCGUCCCGCAGGGAAGCGCUGGGAAAAGCAGCUCCCAGAGCACGGAGCGGUGCAGGGGCUGGGUCUGUUCCAGAUUGCAGAAGGCACCUGAACGAAAUGCAGUUAAUUUCAGCUGCCGCUCCCCAGGGGUCGGCACGGCCGGGCCGGGGGUCCCGGCUGCCCCCGCACACCCCGCGGCCGGGGGGCUCCGGGAGGGGCUGCUCGGGGAGAGACCCCCCCCCCAGCAGCACAGCCAGACAAACCAGCACCUCCCUGGCGCCAUCGGCCCAGCCCGGGGGGGAGAAAACAAUGAGCGAUCAAACCAACGAGCCCCUCGGGACUUUGGGGCAGCCGGUUCCCGGGCACCGAGCGCUGCAAACGAGCCCUUUGCUGAGGGCUCUGCAAGACCCCGCAGAGCUCCCGGCGCGGGGGUUAAACGGCAGCUCGCGUUUCUCUGCAGCCCGGCUGACAUCAGGCUGCACUUUUUGAGGCACUUCGUGAGGAUCGUGUACAGGAUGGCCAGGUUUUGUUUUGUGCACACUUGAUCAAACGUCGCAGAACCUAUGAAGCAGGUUCUGACCCUUUUCCUGCUGAUGGCAAUAAAUCUAUCAGGAAACCUCGGCGAGCUCUUUUUCUGCAGCUACACUCACCUAAUGAGGUAAUCCUGGCGGGGUAAAACAAAAGGCACUGCAGAUGCCUAGGUUUAUUCUCAGAAAUAGGGUGUUGCCUUUGAGCUGAAACCUGCAAACAGGAACGGCUGCGGGGGGCGAGGCUGUGAGAAUAGGUGACAAGCGGGGUACGACUGCCUUUGGACCUCAAGCGAAGCGCUGGAGGGUUCUUUCUGCCACCGGAUUUUACGGAUUGUACUUUGGCGACCCAGACGGGACCGCGCUCCUGCACCUCGAGGGAUCCGGGGAAUCGCAGCAUCUCCAGGCGGCAGCGAGGGAUUUUCGGGAAGAAUCUCUGACCCCUGAACCGAAGAGCUCGGAGCAAGUUCCCUGCUGAUGAAGCACCUGGUGAGGAAAUCUGGUUUCAAGCUCUGGAUGUCUAACAUUGCAGCUGGCGACAUAAACUGCUUCAAGAGUCAAAGCCUUUGAAUGCAGCGAUGACAAUUAGGGAUUUCAGGUUUUCGUUCAGAAACCCGCGUGCUACUUGCACCCCUUCAAAAUCCUUUUCCAAAAAGGUCAAAGCUGAUGUUCUAAAAGCACGUGCAGAUCAAUGUUUGAUUCAUGCCCUAUUCGUGUAACAGCUGUGUUGCCAUAGCUAGGAAGAUACUAUUUUUUGCAUAGACAUCUGACUGUACAUGCCCCGGGCAGCAGCUCUUGCGUGGCUGAGCUGUCUGGAAGGAGGUGAUGACAAGGCGGUCCCGCAGCCCCAUGCCCAGCCCCGGUCAAUCCAUGUGGCAUUCCCUAGCCAUCCCUCCAUAUUUUAUAAGACUUUGCCAGUAAUGGCUGGGGUGUCGUUCAGCCUCUGUUGACAACCUUGUAUUUUUUCCUCGUGAGCUCCAAUCGUAUUUAUCACAUUUCUAACCACUGUUUGGCAAUGAUUUCCAUUUUUUUUGGUGAUUAUAAUCCUAAUUGGAGCCAGCCUGAAGCCAGACGGUCCGAUUUCCCCCGGCCUGUUAGGGUUAAUGUCACAUUCCUCUCAGCUCUAUUCUUUUUCUGUCUGGAGGGGACAACUUUCAGAAGCAGGUGAGCAUUGGCCCGGGACGGAUUAUCUCACAAACAAAUACUACAAAAUAAUGCAGCGGGUAUUGUUUAUUUUUUUGGUUUUGUUUUGCUCCCCCCCCCCCCCUUUCA